CCCCACAAAGCAGGAAAAACACCCAAUCAUGGCAACUCAUAGCUCCACUCUCACCAUAUCCAUAUCCCUACUUCUCCUCCUCUUCUUCUUCUUCUUCUCCACCUUAUCUUCCGCUUCCGACAUGUCCAUCUUAACCUACGACGAAAACCAACACUUUCGAACGGACGAUGAAGUCAUGUCCUUGUACGAGUCAUGGCUACUCGAACAUGGAAAAUCGUACAACGCCUUAGACGAAAAAGACAAGCGGUUUCAGAUCUUUAAAGAUAACUUAAGAUACAUCGAUG
rnacentral:lncRNA from 1 species